rnacentral:snRNA from 1 species
ACUAACCAAGCUUCUUCU